rnacentral:rRNA from 1 species
UACGUAGGGGCCGAGCGUUGUCCGGAGUUAUUGGGCGUAAAGCGCGCGCAGGCGGCCUCGCGCGCCCGACGUGAAAGCCUCCGGCUUAACCGGGGAGGGUCGUUGGGGACGGCGGGGCUUGAGGGCGGGAGAGGUCGGUGGAAUUCCCGGUGUAGUGGUGAAAUGCGUAGAGAUCGGGAGGAACACCUGUGGCGAAGGCGGCCGACUGGGCCGACCCUGACGCUGAGGCGCGAAGGCGUGGGGAGCGAACAGG